rnacentral:rRNA from 1 species
AGUGAACGCUGGCGGUAGGCCUAACACAUGCAAGUCGAACGGCAGCACAGUAAGAGCUUGCUCUUACGGGUGGCGAGUGGCGGACGGGUGAGGAAUACAUCGGAAUCUACUUUUUCGUGGGGGAUAACGUAGGGAAACUUACGCUAAUACCGCAUACGACCUACGGGUGAAAGCAGGGGAUCUUCGGACCUUGCGCGAUUGAAUGAGCCGAUGUCGGAUUAGCUAGUUGGCGGGGUAAAGGCCCACCAAGGCGACGAUCCGUAGCUGGUCUGAGAGGAUGAUCAGCCAAACUGGAAAUGAGACACGGGCCAGACUCCUACGGGAGGCAGCAGUGGGGAAUAUUGGACAAAGGGCGCAAGCCUGAUCCAGCCAUACCGCGUGGGUGAAGAAGGCCUUCGGGUUAUAAAGCCCUUUUGUUGGGAAAGAAAAGCAGCAGGUUAAUACCCCGCUGUUCUGACGGUACCCAAAGAAUAAGCACCGGCUAACUUCGUG